AACUACAUUAAUAGCUUAUUUGCCCACAGGUUCCCAUUGGGUUUGACCAUGGGAGCAUUGACAGGUGAUCAAAAGGUAGGAGGUGCGUGAAGCAAGGUAUGUAUGCCCUUAGCUCUCUCCUUGCAAGGUUGCUGCAAGCUGGUUGUGUCCCUUGACUUAAGGUCCCAGCUCUUGCCAAUUGGCCGUCUGCAUGUAGUGCUCUGUAUCGCUGUAGUGCUCUGUAUCUCUGUGUGCUCUGUAUCUCUGAGUUUCAGUAAAUAGUCC
rnacentral:lncRNA from 10 species